GAUGAACGCUGGCGGCGUGCCUAAUACAUGCCAGUCGAGCGAACGGAUGAGGAGCUUGCUCCUCUGACGUUAGCGGCGGACGGGUGAGUAACACGUGGAUAACCUACCUAUAAGACUGGGAUAACUUCGGGAAACCGUAGCUAAUACCGGAUAAUAUUUUGAACCGCAUGGUUCAAUAGUGAAAGACGGUCUUGCUGUCACUUAUAGAUGGAUCCGCGCUGCAUUAGCUAGUUGGUAAGGUAACGGCUUACCAAGGCAACGAUGCGUAGCCGACCUGAGAGGGUGAUCGGCCACACUGGAACUGAGACACGGUCCAGACUCCUACGGGAGGCAGCAGUAGGGAAUCUUCCGCAAUGGGCGAAAGCCUGACGGAGCAACGCCGCGUGAGUGAUGAAGGUCUUCGGAUCGUAAAACUCUGUUAUUAGGGAAGAACAAAUGUGUAAGUAACUAUGCACGUCUUGACGGUACCUAAUCAGAAAGCCACGGCUAACUACGUG
rnacentral:rRNA from 1 species